rfam:Capsicum annuum cultivar Zunla-1 chromosome 5, whole genome shotgun sequence
UAAUAAUGGUGAGGACAAUCUCAGGGCAUAAACUUAAAUCUUUCCCAAUCUUAGUACAAAUUUUCUCCAUCUUUCUUCCUGAAACUUAGAAUUUCGCUUCUCAAUCA